AGAACGAACGCUGGCGGCAGGCUUAACACAUGCAAGUCGAACGCCCCGCAAGGGGAGUGGCAGACGGGUGAGUAACGCGUGGGAAUCUACCCAGUUCUACGGAAUAACACAGGGAAACUUGUGCUAAUACCGUAUACGCCCUACGGGGGAAAGAUUUAUCGGGAUUGGAUGAGCCCGCGUUGGAUUAGCUAGUUGGUGGGGUAAUGGCCUACCAAGGCGACGAUCCAUAGCUGGUCUGAGAGGAUGAUCAGCCACACUGGGACUGAGACACGGCCCAGACUCCUACGGGAGGCAGCAGUGGGGAAUAUUGGACAAUGGGCGCAAGCCUGAUCCAGCCAUGCCGCGUGAGUGAUGAAGGCCUUAGGGUUGUAAAGCUCUUUCGAGUGGGGAAGAUAAUGACGGUACCCACAGAAGAGCCCCGGCUAACUUCGUGCCAGCAGCCGC
rnacentral:rRNA from 1 species